CUCGCUGCGCUCCCCAACCCCCCCCCCAAGCGCCCCCGCCUCCACCGCGAGGUCCUCAACGGCAUCUUCCUCCAGCAGACCCACGGCAGGCCGGAGUGCUGCGCGCCGUGCUCCGGCGCUCCGGCGAGGCACCCGUGCCGUGCGGCGGGCUGUCCGGCCCGACUGGUCUGAGCCCGACGUGGCCCGAGGCCCGACCCGGCCCAUGCAACAGCGUUCUUCGUCUCCCUCGAUCUCCACUCUCCACCAGUCCGCUUUUUCGCUCUCCUUCCCCCCCGCCCCCACCCCCAACCCCCGUGUCGUGUCCGUCCACCCACCANGAUCUCCCCUCUCCACCAGUCCGCUUUUUCGCUCUCCUUCCCCCCCGCNNNNNNNNNNNNNNNNNNNNNNNNNNNNNNNNNNNNNNNNNNNNNNNNNNNNNNNNNNNNNNNNNNNNNNNNNNNNNNNNNNNNNNNNNNNNNNNNNNNNAUUGCUAGCGACACUAUCGCAUACGUGAGUCAAAAGACGCAAAUGGUCCCGGCUAAGGUAAGGCUACAGCCGUGGAGUUAACCGUGCGUGAGACCACAAAGGGAUGCGAUGUGUUACAGGCUGGAUUCCUAUGGCUUAGGAUCGGGGUCCCGACAGCGUUGGUAUCAGAGCCUGACUGACUGUAGGAUUACUAAGCCAAACUGGUCGAAGUUGAGUCUAGAAUUGCUUUAGUUAUAUAUAAGGGAAUUGUUUGUGGAAGGGAACGUAAGACUCUUGUUCUCUUCUCAAGUUAUUCUAUUCUGGUCAUCCUCAUCUUUUCUACGGGAAUUAAGGACUAGGUUACUCAUCUUCUCCUAGGCUCGUGUUUCCGAUCGGUAGCUUAUAAGACUACGGGUUGAGAGAUAUUGGGUUACUUUUACUCCUAGGAAGCAGGAAGUAAGUUUGGUGACCAGAGAGUUGAACUUGAUAGUUGAGUGGUUACGCUAUUUCAUUUUGGGUUGUCUCAAAAUUUGUUUUGAGCAUUUACAGCCGUUAUGCUGCCCAAUUUUUCAUUCAGAGCUCUAAUGCUUUUUGCAUUACUCUCUAUUUAUAGAUGCCUGGCCGUCCUUCUCGUCAGGUGGUACGUUUGACCAGGUGCAUUGAUGUACCGGGUCAUACGGCCAUGCUGGUCAGGGUGAUGUCGGUGUGCGGUUACCGCUGGUACCCCGAGUACACAGUGGAGGAACAGUACCGAGACUUCAACCAGAGCCAGUACAUAUGCACUGUUAGGGUAUUUCCAGAUUACCCUGGAGCGGAGAAGCCAAUCCAUUGGUCCUAUGGGUUGGGAGUCACUGUUGACAUGGCAGUACAAGAUGCUGCCUAUUCAAUGCUGACUAUCAUGAGAGCGAGACAUGCAGUGCUGCAGAAUUCAGAGUUCUGCUAUGUUCCGGCCUCUCAGUCUGGUGAAGAGGGAUACCUCAGUGGAGUCUAUUUUGAUUCUUCUAUGGAGGAUCCACUUCUGCAGUCCAAUGUUGAGAUGCUAGAGAACGGAGACAGGGAUGCUCGUGCUCUCCGCAUGGAGCUUUAUGCUACCCGUGCCCGUCUGUGGACAGCUUUGACGCAGCUGGCACCGGUAGUCCAGACAGGGUAUGGAGAGAUGGAGAUGCUGAACCCUGUUAGGACCCAUCUUCCGGCCCACGUUGACUGGCCAGCUAUAGGAGGAGUCACACCUCUUCGGGGACCCCUCUUACCACCAGUCAGGGGACCAAGGCCACAUCCGUGUCCUUAUGGAUCCCAGGGAUCUCAGGCCAGAGUGUUUCCUGAUCCGCAGGUUGAGCUUCCGGGUCAUGGAGGUAAUCUCUAUGAGAUGUUCUAUGCGGAUGCCUGAGCUGUGAGCGGAAGGAUGGUAUGGUAGUAGCCGUAUGUUCACAGUCCUGCGUGACUUGUGGAGUAUGGUAGUAAUAUGAAACAAAUUCCGGAGGCCUAGAUAAAUAAUGUAUAGGAAGCUUGUAAGCCUCUGAUGAGUAGUUCCACCAUUUCAGUAGUUUGCUCUUCGAGUAAGUUUGUACUGAACCAUGUAAGGGUGUGUAUGAACCAUGGUGUAUAUAUAGCAGCUGAUUGUUACCAUGUUGUUCGGAUAUUCAUUUCCGCAUUCUGUGUGUUCUGUACAUUCUUAAUCCAUAGCUAGUAUUGAUAUGAUAUUGGUCUAAGCUAUGAGUUUGUUUGUCAGGAUGGUGUUCACCAGGUUGAACCGUGCCCCUGCUCAUGAGCAAGGUGAGGGUAGUCAAGCGUCGCAGGAAGACCUGCCUCACCCACCUUCUCUGGUAGAAGUGAUGCUUGAGGCAGAAAGAAACAAAAGGGAGACCAACCGACUGCUAGAGCGUAUUGAGCAGAAUACGGCUCGACAGCCUAGGAAUGCUGCCGUGUCCCUCAAUGACUUUGUGAAGCUGAAUCCUCCAAAGUUUCAUCAUUCCGUCGAUCCCCUCGACGCUGAUGACUGGCUGUGCAGCAUUUCACGCAAGAUUCGCUCUGCGAAUGUGUCUGAGGCUGACAAGGUGACCUUUGCGGCGUAUUUCCUGGAGGGACCCGCCAAUCUGUGGUGGGAGAAUUUUGAAGCUAUGCGUCCCGCUGAACCAGUGGCCACAUGGGCAGACUUCAGCGCAGCUUUCCGUCUGCACCAUAUUCCAAAGGGCCUGAUGGACAGAAAGAGAGAGGAGUUCUGUGCCUUCACUCAGGGCAAGUUGUCUGUGGAUGCUUAUAGUCGCGAGUUCGGUAACCUCGCCCGCUAUGCAACAGAGGAGGUGUCUACUGACGCCAAGAAGCAAGCAAGAUUCCGUAAGGGUCUGAGCCCUGAGCUCCGUCGUGAUCUGCGCCUUCAUGAGUGUGCAAGUUUUCAAGCCCUAGUCAACAAAGCGAUCAGUGCGGAGACUGGUCACUCGGACUUCGAAGCCACAAGGAAGCACUCCCGUGACUUUGGCUCAUCUUCUGGUUCCGCGUUUCCGAAACGCAGGCUGUGGGUUCCAAACAGUUCUCUGCCGCCAAGAUACACUCCGAAGCCAUCCUACGUGGCGCCUCAGACGAAACAGGCCAAUCCUCCAGCAAAAGCUUAUGGUGGUCCAGCUAGCAAUGUUGCACCACGUGCCAACCAGGUGAUAUGCUACAAGUGUGGAGAACUAGGGCAUUAUUCCCGUGAGUGUCCUCAGAAUGUGGGUGCCAAGCAACCCGGAAAGUCCGUCGGGCAGGCCAAGUCGGGCAAAGCGUUUUAUGUGAAGCCAACUCCUGCACGUGGCCGUGUGAACUAUGUGUCAGCAGAAGAAGCUGCAGAGGAUCCCGACGUCAUGUUGGGUACGCUUCUUGUUAAUCAUCACCCAGCGUCCGUUCUCUUUGACACUGGGUCUUCUCAUUCAUUCAUUUCAGAAAGUUAUGCAAAGUUGCAUAACAUGUCAUUUUGUGAUAUGCCAAUCCCAUUGGUUGUCCAAACCCCUGGUAGUAAAUGGCAAACCUCUAGGAUAACCUAUGACAAUGAAAUUCUAGUAGACAGGCUAGUUUUUCUAGCCUCAUUGAUAGCAUUGAAAUCUUCGGAUAUUAAUAUCAUCUUGGGCAUGGACUGGAUGUCAGCUCACUAUGCCAAGAUUGAUACUCACUUCGGAAAUGUCCAGCUUACCCAUCCCUCGGGUGAGAUAGUAAAUGUCUCUACUCGAGUUGCCAAAUGCCAACUCUAUUCCCUAAAUGCCAACCCUCUUCCGGAACUUGAAGACAUCCCGGUAGUCCGUGACUUCCCGGAUGUUUUUCCAGAGGAACUGCCAGGAAUUCCACCUGACAGAGAUGUAGAGUUUGUGAUAGAUCUAGUUCCGGGAACUGUCCCAAUAGCCAGGAGACCUUAUAAGAUGGCACCCCUGGAGCUAGCCGAACUUAAGAAUCAAUUAGAUGAGGCCUUGAACAAGGGUUUCAUUCGUACUAGCUCUUCUCCUUGGGCUUGUCCCGUCCUCUUCGUCAAGAAGAAAGACGGAACGGAUCGGAUGGUUGUAUAUUACCGACCAGUUAACCUGGUCACCAUAAAGAACAAGUAUCCGCUCCC
rnacentral:lncRNA from 1 species